AAAUUAGAACUUAUUACCAAAAAACAAUUUCUCUUGAUGAAUCAUUAUAUAUAGCCAUUAUAUAUAUUUUUUCUUUCCCUUUUUACCUUGAAAAGUUUCAAAACUAAAUUAUAAUAACUGAAUUACACAAGUUGCUGUAAGUUGUUUAUUUAGUUUUUCCUCUUGUUAUGCAGAGUUUUCUUUCUUUCUUUAACAGCCCCCCUGCAUUUGUGGUAUUUGUGAGAGGCUGUUCAAAUCCUUUUUGGAAGCAGUAAGUGGUCAAACUAUAAACAAAACAAAACCAAAAAAAAAAAAAAAAAAAACCAGUUCCUGUAAUAAAUCUAUUCUGCUAUUUAACAUCAGAAAUACGUUAUGUCAAAAUCCUAGCUCCUAAAAACAAAAGACUUUAAAAAUUAUACAAAAAUUUGUGUUGAAUGAACUUGAUAAUAGUGUGAGUGGCCAGAAAAGCAGGCCAAGAUCUGAAAGCGAUCCACUAAACAGAAGCAGACAAAAGUUCAAUGAAGGAGGGAGUGUGAAGUAAGCAAUACUGCCACUGCAGCAAAGGCAUGAAGUGUGUCCCUUGGUUUCAGCAAUAAAAGGCUGGAAAUGAGAGCAAGAGCAGGUGCAGGUGAAGUGAGAGCCACUGAAGCCAGUCUAUGGUGGGCUGGAGAGUAAUUAGGAGACUAGGAAGUGGAAAUACAAGUAUCCUCCUUGCUUCCAGAACUUCGCUGGGAGGCUCAAGAGAGUGACAGCUAGGAGAGAACAGAAGUGAAGGAAGGAUUUUUCUCCCUCACCCCCGUUUUUGCUUUGGUAAGGCCAAGCCCCAAAGGACACGUUAUACACAGCCUGCCUCAAACUCGCGGACUCGAGUUGAGAAAUUUUUCCCUCCUAGGGUAACUGUAAUGGUUUUCAAUUGGCCCCAUCCCCCCUUACCCCCCUCCCCCCAAAAAACCAUAAGUCAUGUCAAUCCUGAUAUAUUUGAACACUUCCUUUGCUGCAGCUGUUCCUCAGAUUCCUAAUAGAGGCCUUAUUACAAGGAUCAGAGUAACAGGUUCUCUUCAUUUUGUUUAGAAUAAAAAAACUUUAAAGGGACAUUUCAAAAGAAAAAAAAUAAAAACUGAAAUUCAAAUUCUGAAAAUAUCUUGCCUUUUUUAUUAAUCAUGUCAUCUAACACCAAUUAAAAAAACAAAUAUGUGAAUAUGAUAUAAAAAUACGAUCCCAGGAUUAACACUUUGUUGCAGGC
rnacentral:lncRNA from 1 species